UGGUUCUGGCAUCGAUGAAGAACGCAGCGAAAUGCGAUAAGUAAUGUGAAUUGCAGAAUUCCGUGAAUCAUCGAAUCUUUGAACGCACAUUGCGCCCGCCAGUAUUCUGGCGGGCAUGCCUGUUCGAGCGUCAUUUCAACCCUCAAGCCCCCGGGCUUGGUGUUGGGGAACGGCCCGCCCCUAGCGGCAGGCCGGCCCCGAAAUCUAGUGGCGGUCUCGCGAUAGCCUCCUCUGCGUAGUAGCAAUAUCUCGCACUGGUGCCGAGCGACGACCACGCCGUUAAACCCCCCCACUUUCUGAAGGUUGACCUCGGAUCAGGUAGGAAUACCCGCUGA
rnacentral:misc_RNA from 1 species